rnacentral:sRNA from 1 species
ACACUGGCUGUUGUCAUCGGCCUCUGAGGUUUCAGGCUCUUGGCGGUGAAGGUCAGCGUGCAGACCUGAGACCACUGCUCACCGACUCCAGACUCCAGUUUAUCUGUGCCCCGGCUUCCUCACUUAGUCUCAGAAGACUUAGGCUGAGGCCUCAGAAGGAGGUGAGUUCCCUGGGUCACAGGCAGAGAUCUGUUGCUAUAGUGAUGGCCCCAACUGGGGCGUGUUUGUCUCUGAAUCCCUUGGUCCUGCCGCCUUGGACACAAGAGAAGUACGCUGAGCUGAGGCGAGUUGGAGGAGAAGCCUCAGCAAGAGCCCAGACCUAGAUCCUCAGAGCAGAGAAAGGAGGCUCACGGGACAGCAGGUCCUAGAAGAGCUGGACCCGUAGUGGCCUUUGUCCCUCACUUCAGCUGAGACAGAGCAAAGCUGGCUCAACUUCCAGGUGCCAUGGAGGACCGUGUGACAGUGCAGUUUGAUUCCUGCUGGAGGAGGGACAGGUGAAAGUCACAGGUGGAUGGAGG